rnacentral:rRNA from 1 species
CUCGAUGUCGGCUCAUCUCAUCCUGGGGCUGAAGCAGGUCCCAAGGGUAUGGCUGUUCGCCAUUUAAAGAGGUACGCGAGCUGGGUUUAGAACGUCGUGAGACAGUUCGGUCCCUAUCUACCGUGGGCGCUGGAAAUUUGAGAGGAUCUGCUCCUAGUACGAGAGGACCAGAGUGGACGAACCUCUGGUGUACCGGUUGUGACGCCAGUCGCAUCGCCGGGUAGCUAUGUUCGGAAGGGAUAACCGCUGAAAGCAUCUAAGCGGGAAGCCUACCUCAAGAUAAGAUUUCCCUAGGACUUUAUGUCCUCUAAAGAGCCGUUCGAGACUAGGACGUUGAUAGGUUGGAUGUGGAAGCAUAGUGAUAUGUGAAGCUGACCAAUACUAAUUGCUCGUGAGGCUUGACUAUACAACACCCAAGCAGUUG